GACGAACGCUGGCGGCGUGCUUAACACAUGCAAGUCGAACGGAAAGGCCCUGCUUUUGUGGGGUGCUCGAGUGGCGAACGGGUGAGUAACACGUGAGUAACCUGCCCUUGACUUUGGGAUAACUUCAGGAAACAGGGGCUAAUACCGGAUAGGAGCUCCUGCUGCAUGGUGGGGGUUGGAAAGUUUCGGCGGUUGGGGAUGGACUCGCGGCUUAUCAGCUUGUUGGUGGGGUAGUGGCUUACCAAGGCUUUGACGGAUAGCCGGCCUGAGAGGGUGACCGGCCACAUUGGGACUGAGAUACGGCCCAGACUCCUACGGGAGGUAGCAGUGGGGAAUAUUGCACAAUGGGCGGAAGCCUGAUGCAGCAACGCCGCGUGCGGGAUGACGGCCUUCGGGUUGUAAACCGCUUUCGCCUGUGACGAAGCGUGAGUGACGGUAAUGGGUAAAGAAGCACCGGCUAACUACGUG
rnacentral:rRNA from 1 species